rnacentral:lncRNA from 1 species
GAAGCAAUUAUAUGAUAUUGCAACGCAGACUGCAAAAGGGCUCUCUUAUUUGCAUGAAAGUUGUGAUGAACAGAUAAUUCAUCGAGACAUAAAGCCUGGUAAUGUGCUCCUUGACUCAAAGUUCUGUCCUAAGAUUACUGAUUUUGGAUUGGCUAAAUUUUAUAGCACAGAUAAGAUGCAAAUUGAAUUGAGUAACAGAUCGAUCAGUGGGGUACGCAGUUAUGAUGCUCCAGAGUUGCGAAGUAAAAAAAACGUAAGCUGUAAAUUUGAUGUUUUCAGCUUUGGGGUGAUGCUUUCUGAAAUUUUAGCGCAUUUCAAAGGUGAACACUCGGUUGCAAGAUAUGUUUGGGAAAAGUUUCAGAAAGGACUACUUGACGAAUUUAUAACAGAAUGUGGCAUUAUAUCUGGAGAAAAGGAUAAAGAAAAUGCAAAGACAUUAAGUAUAGUUGCAUUGUUGUGCAUUGAAGAAAACCCCCAGGACAAACCUCAAAUGAGUGAGGUGGUGAAUUUUCUUAUGGGUGUUAUCAAACCUUCCACACCACUGAAUCCUUAUUUCAAUCAAGACUUAUCGCGUUUUCCCCAGGGAACCAAGUUAAUCUCAGAAGUCUAGCUAGAGCUACAUGACUGAAUCGGGCGGUAUAGACAUUGAAGUGUCAGAAGAAGGAAGAAGCACAACAAGGGAAUCAGACGGUUGUAAGACUUUUGUAUUGACCAUUUUUAUGAGGUUGGUCAAUACAUUAAUGAAUGAUGAUGAUGUAUGUAAAUGAUAUGAACAAUAAUAACAAAGUAGAAAAGACAUGACACCAUUGUUUACGUGGUUCGGCAAAUGUGCCUACGUCCACGGAGAGGGAGAAAGAAGUUUAUUAUAGUAGUGGUGAUACAAAAUGGGAGCUCGAUAAUGGAGAGAGCUCAAGAGAGAGAUGAGACCUGAGAGGUGAGGUCUCAUGAGAGAGUGUUGAGGUCUUGUGUAUGAUUCACAAUGAGACCAUUAGAACCUGAGAAGAUGAGUAGUUUGCCUUUAUAUUUAUAGGCUACAAUGUAACUCCAUUCUUAGCAAUUAAUAGGGUAAUAAUGGGGAAAAUAUCUUUGUAAUAAUAAGGCUUAACUUUGUAACUUGUGCCAUCAAGAGAGAGCCCAUUAGAUGUUGACAUGUGGCACCAUGAUGGAUGGUAGAGAUGGUGCCACAUGUAUGUUGUAUAUAGUACCCCUACAUAAGCCCCCUCUUUUUAGGUUGAACGGAGUUCGGGCUGAAAAGAAGUAAUCGAACCGAUCCAGCCCCCAAGAUGAAUGAAAUAUGGGGUUUUUAACGAAGUCGAUCCGCCCCAAAUUUUGAUGAGCUUGAUCAUUGAGAUUUGCAGGACGCGAUGAAGGUCCCUUGUGGUAAUGGCAACUCGAUCAUGAAUUUGUGUAUAGCGAGCUAGUUAGUUCCAGGGAGACCUGGUAGCUCGUUCAGAAGGCAUGUAGACAAGAUGGACAGCUGCAAGCAGGUCGUACUGAAGUGGGUCUUCUUGUAUACUUGGGUGGUUGGUCUCGGUCAAGCUUCGAGGUGGUCGCCUUUUUGUGGUCGAGUUGCAUAGACCUGAUAAUGUUAGCAUGUGAAACAUUAUAAAAUUCAAUAAAAGACUUACAUGGAAUUGUACGUCUUCCUUAUGACUUGUAUAUACUAUCUUUGUCGCCUUGUGACUGGACACUUCGAUAGAUAUGGCACUUUGGAGUGCAAUGUAGCUCGUUUGAGAAAGAGCAUUGGUUGACCAAGUGUUUUGAGAGUUACUUGGAACCUUUUGGUGCCCGAUCUAGUGAAUGGUCGCAGCGUGGAGACCUGUUUGACAAUUCUCGGGCAUGUGGCCUUUGUGGGUCUGCAUUGCAUUGAGAGUGAAUGCGUUCGACCAGGCGUGUGGCUAGAGAAUUGUGUUUGAGGUCGUCCCGCAUACGAGUGACUCACUAGUCAAUGAGGGUGGCCGUAUUGUAUAUCAAGCAUUUCACUUGUAAAGAGUUCAGUGAAAGCAAUGUGGCACAUUUGUGCAAAAAUAGCUCAUGGGGAGUGAGGUCGUGUUCAUGUGACCUGCACAUAGAGAGAGCUACAAAAAAUAUCAUUAAUAGCUAAUUGUGCUAAUAAUAAGUUAAUUUCAUUAGAUAAAGUGAGAAUAGCCCCCUAUAUGGCAUAAAUAUUCUUGAGGUCGUUGAAGGACCUGUAAUUUGAAGAGGUCGUUGAUAGACCUGGUGAGGUCGCGAUGAAGGACCUGGCAUGAAGGACCUGAGAGGUCGUUGGCUUAGGGACCUGAGAGGUCGUUGGCUUAGGGACCUGAAUAAGAGGUCAGGUCGCGAUGAGACCUGAGCUCGUCUGCUUAGAGACCUGAAUAUGUGAGGAGGUCUCUGCAAGACCUGAACAUGUGGCCAUUAAGAAUGUAACUGAUGAUAUAAAAUCUUGAUCGAGUUAUGAGAAUAUAUGUUACAUAGAUGCAUAUAAUAGUCAAUUUGUGUGAGACAAAAUAGAAUGAUCAGUAAGAAAUGGAGGUCUCUUCGAGUGGGUAAACAUAAACAAAUAUCAUAGUGGAUUGAUACUUAUCUUUAUUUGAAGAGCUUGUAGCUAAGUCGUUCUGAUCAGCUAUUUUCCAGGGAGUCCUGGUAGCUCGUUCAGAAGGCAGGUAGACGAGAUGAAUGGCUGCAAGUAGGACGAACUGAAACAGUUCUUCUUGUAUGCCUUAGUUUAAUGUUGCUUUCGUCGAGUUUAGUAAUUGUGUAAACAAUUUGCUCCAAGCCCCCAACUGUGAGUUGCAAUUUUGUCUUUUCAAAUUCAAUGAAUUUCUUGAAAAUCACCAUCUGAGAACCUUAGAACAAUGGUGUUCGGUGGGGUUGGUGGGUGGAAUUCGCUCGAGAAAAUCCCAAGUCCCUGUAGUCGGCGCCAAAUGUAUUGACCAUUUUUGUGAGGUUGGUCAAUACAUUAAUGAAUGAUGAUGAUGUAUGUAAAUGAUAUGAACAAUAAUAACAAAGUAGAAAAGACAUGACACCAUUGUUUACGUGGUUCGGCAAUUGUGCCUACGUCCACGGAGAGGGAGAAAGAAGUUUAUUAUAGUAGUGGUGAUACAAAAUGGGAGCUCGAUAAUGGAGAGAGCUCAAGAGAGAGAUGAGACCUGAGAGGUGAGGUCUCAUGAGAGAGUGUUGAGGUCUUGUGUAUGAUUCACAAUGAGACCAUUAGAACCUGAGAAGAUGAGUAGUUUGCCUUUAUAUUUAUAGGCUACAAUGUAACUCCAUUCUUAGCAAUUAAUAGGGUAAUAAUGGGGAAAAUAUCUUUGUAAUAAUAAGUCUUAACUUUGUAACUUGUGCCAUCAAGAGAGAGCCCAUUAGAUGUUGACAUGUGGCACCAUGAUGGACGGUAGAGAUGGUGCCACAUGUAUGUUGUAUAUAGUACCCCUACAACUUUCAUUAACAACGGCUUUCAUGUUGUCAUCAAAACAGAACCCAUAUUAUGUUAUAUGUGUUAUUUUCCAGUUGAAUAAGUCUUAGUUGUUAUGAGUUAAGCCUAAUAAGUAGAAAGUAGAGUGUAGUCUUAUAGGGGUUAGUUGCAACUUAACGUUGGAGUGGGUUGUUGUAACUUAGUCCUAUUUUAUUGGUAAGAUAUUUGUAAUCACCUUCUAUUUAAGGUGCAGCAUUCAUUAAUAAAAGUAUGCUUAUGAAUUAUCUCCAAUUAUCCUCAACACUUAUUGUUGUUAUUGUAACACCCCGGGUCGGCAGGUGGUUUGCCAAGAGGGUGGGUCAUAUGUUGCAUGAGAGGGGGAUGAUCCCGACAUUGGAAUAUAGGUAUAGAUCCGUCAUAUAUAAUCACCGAGGCUUUUUGGGAGUAUCCCUCAUAUAUAAACAUUUCUCGUAAUGUUUUUCAUUAUUGCUGCCCUUGAAAUCUCGUAAGAUUGUCUGUAUAUUUGCAUGAGACGUGUUCACUAGAAUCAGACAUAGAAGACAUUAAGAUUGAUAAAAACAACAUAGUAAUUAGGAGGAUAUAUACCCAAGCUGUGGCAUUGAAACAGACACAUUUCGUAGUUACUUUCUUGUCCGACUCCACUUCAUAUAUGAAUUCACUAGACUUCAUCACCAACAAAGUUCUUGCUUCCUCAAUCCUCAAAGCUAAAACACCUUCCAUGGUUGGACACAAAGUAGAAGUCCACUUCAACGAAUCGUCACGUCUAUCCAACAUCAUCUUCAUAACACGUGACCUAAUUCUAUCAAGCAUUGGAAGUAUGGGCAUAGAACGUUGUGUGUACCCUGGGUAAAAUACCCGACAGGUGUCAUCGGUGGCUGUAUAAGAAGCUAAACCGAGAACACUUGAACGUUAGCCAGCCAGACCUGGACUAUCGGGUAGGGUCCAACCCGGUCUCAAGAAGUCUGCAUACGCUCUGUAGAUCCUGACCACUGGAUGGGCCACGAUCAGUGGGUGGAGCCCCGAUUACUGUAUAAGAAGUUGAGCCGUGGGCUCCCAUACAUCAGCCAGGCCUGUCUUAAUCAAGUAAGCUAGGUCCGACCCAUUGAAGUCCAUCAGCGACGAAGUCCCAUCCAAAGGCUUAUCAUAGAAGUCCAAAGGACCUGGCCAGGGAGUAUGAAAUGCAGAUUGGGCCUCCGGUCUGAGGAGUCUAGCCCAAGUCUUUGCUUUCAAACUUGGUCAAAUCCAAGUCCUAACUAACUGGAUAAGUCCAACAAGAUUUCAAGCUAACAGAACCCACUCUUCUAGCCCGCUGCAGAACAUAAAGGAAGACCCAGGUUGAACCAGAACCUAUCAGAGAAUGCCAUGUGGCAGUCGUCCUUGUCCAAGGGGAUUCAAACCGAGGGAUAAUCGUCAAGCAGCAUGCAUGUGUGCUAUCUCUGCGGGAACAUCUUCACAGUUUGAACUGCCCGAGUUCAUGGAGUCGAAACCGAAGGAGCGGUUGAGCCAGCCUCCUCCGGUCCACUAUAAAUUCAGGAGUUCUCAACCUCCUAAACUACGAGUCUUUCACUUAACAACCUCCAUUACUAAAUCACAUUAUAUAUUGAAAAGUGUUUAGAGGUGGAUUAAAGUUGGUUAUCAAAGUAUAUUGGUCAUGGUUCCAUAUGUAUUACUUGGAUUUUGAUAUGUGUAUAUUGAAAAGCGUAAAACCCUUUGAACAACCUUCUCUAUUUCUCUCUCAUUUUCCCUCUUCUCACUUUCUCUUUCAAUGAUUAUAAAGUGGAUACAAUAUUCAAAAAUAUGUAAAAAUCUUUUUAUGUUCAAAUUUUCUGUGUUUUGUAGUGCGAAUUAGUUCGUAUAACUUAUGUAAAUUGAGAUAUGUCUCUUGAACUGAAAGAUACGUCAUCUGUAUAACCUAUGUAAAUUCAUAUAUGUUACUCUUAUUGAAUAUUUGUUUUAAAAGAAUAUAUUAUAUUAUAAAACUAGUAAUCUAACUCCUAAAAUUGAAUGUGACAGAAUAAGAAUUUUAAUAUUAUUAUCUUCAAAUUAUUAAUGAUAUUCGUGGCAGUGCCAUGGGUUUUACUAGUAAUUUAUGAUCCAUAACUGCCCAUUUUUAAAUUACAAAAUAAAAAAUAAACUUCCUAUUGAUAAUAUUAUAAUAAAUUAGUAGAAUUACAUUCCCUCUAGAACCAUUAAUCUUGAGUAAGUUUUUUUUUUUUUUUUUUUAGAGUAACUUGUGUCUUACCAGUCCUCGUAAUCUCGAAUUUGAUAGAUAAAACAAUAAUGCAAAGUCUUGUAUUUCACAGAAUUACAAUUAAAAUAUAUACUCUCCUAAACCAAAGCUAAUACAAGGAAACUACCAAAAAAAAACUACUCUUAACAGAAUUAUAUAUAUGUCGUGAAAUACUUAAUAAGAUAGAAUAUGGUCGGAAUCUUUUAUGUAUGAUUAAGGAUUGGAUGAGUAAGAUGGUGGAAUUGAAGUGGAAGUCUUUCAUGUGUAUAGGGAGAGUAACGAAGUAGUAGAUCACCUUGCUAGCCUUUGUAGCUCACCGGAGUUAUGUGUAAACCUUUUUUUCUCCUCCUCUAGAUGCCAAGCUACUUGAGUAGGUAACAGAUGACUCUAAUGGGAGGGAAUUUGUAAGGAUUUCUAUAUAUAUAUAUACAUACAUACACUGGUAGGGGUCUGCCAAACCCUAAAUUUCUUCAACAAAAUAAAAAAUAAUAAUAUGUUCGACUAAUGUUUAUGCCACGGAUGACAUUAAAUUAGAGAGGUCCUACUGUAUAUGAAUCUAAUGAUAUAUAUGAAUGUUCCUAAUUUACAGGUUCAUGAUAUGACUUUAUCACACAAAUAAACCAACCGCCCGAUUGAAUUUUUGUUGUCGCCCAGGUUCCAUUUCGAAUGCAUGGUACAUGUAACGUGUUGGAGUUAUUUUGCAGAUCAUGUCAUAAUAGUGUUUUGUAAGUAGCAACAGGGAUGGUUAUUCAACAAGCUAAGUUGUUCACCACCUCUGCUACAAGAUAUUGAGGAUUUACUUAGCUUCCUGAUCAAAUUCAUUAUCAUCAUCUCCAAUGAAACUAUAGACAGUAAAAAAACAAAAAGCCAGUCUUCCAAAUUUCAACUUACAAACUAUUAAUCAUAGGCAAAGACAGUAAAAAGCAAAUAAAAAAGAAAAAAACAACCGCAUUCAACUUAAGCUUGCUUGAACAGCCUCUGGAGUCUUCAAACCAAAGCUAAACUAAGGUCUUGUAUUCAAGUUCAUCAUUCGGAUGACCUCGGAAUCCCUUCAAACAGUUUUCCCAAUGUGCCUUGUGUAUCCAUCUCAACCAUUUUAUCAAAAGCUAGUUGCUUUCCUUUCACAAAUACUACAGGAGGGUAUACACCCUUUUUACCUAGCACGGUUUGCAAUUCACUCAUAUAGGCUCGUCCAGCAGUAUCUCGCUCAUCAACCUCAAUUUGAUAUGAUUUUAACAUGGAAACAAUAUAUUCAGAAUAAUCAAUGUUGUCUCUACGACCAGACGAAACUGUGUAAACAACAACCGCAUUUUCACCUCCAGGCGGACACCUUGAUUUGAAUUUUGCAAGCUCCAUAUUUGGUUCACUUAUUACAGGCCUUUCAAAAAUGGCAGAAUUGACCUUUGGAUGCCCCAACUUGGCUGGGAGAGAAAACACCAAAGAAUUAGAACUACCACUCAUGCUGCUGCUACUUUCAGCAAAAUCAUAUGUAAAUGGUUCGAGCGGCAACCACGGUUCUAUCUCGCCCUCAAGCAUCUUCACCACUUUGCUCAUAUCUUCACCACUUUGAAAUUUUUCCUGAAUCGUUGCGUUAUCCACAUGAGAGUUUUUCUCCUGCAGACUGAAAGAGUAACAUCAAAUUUGCCAGUCUCAACAUCAUAUAGAAGAGUUAGGUAAGAGAUUAUUAAUUGUGCGGGAAAAAAACACUUGAGAGCUAUCUAUAUAUAGUACCUUUCAGCAAUUGAACUUGCAAUUUUUGAAGAAACUUGUGAGUAGGACAAGUUCACUGGCAUUGUUCGCCCACCAAUUCGUAUCGAGGUACUGCCUUCACUUGACAAGUCAUAAAACGGAAAGGGAUCAAGUGGCAGUGAUGGUUCAAUAGCACCCUCAAGCAUCAUCACAACCGUGCUCAUGAGUGGUCUUAGUUGGGGAAUAUCUUGAGCGCACAAUAAUGCAACUAAACUUAAUCUCUUCGCUUUAUCUUUAUCUUUCUCUAAAAUGCCACAAUCAGUGAUCAUUUCAUCGAGUUGUCCAUUCUUAACAGUCUUCCAAACUUGAAACGGAAACCACUCUUGGCCCUCCCAAAUCCUCUUUCUCGUCAAAAGUUCAAACAACAUCAUACCGAAGCUGUAAACAUCACAUUUAUGACUCGUUAUGUUGUUCCAUCCUAAACAAACCUCCAGGGCUGCAUAACCAUAGGUCCCUCGGAAGCUGUUCUUUGAGACGUGACUAAGAUCACUAUUAUUACCAAGCUUGGCCAAUCCAAAAUCGGCAAUCUUUGGAGAAUGAUUCGAGUCAAGAAGCACAUUUUCAGCUUUUAUGUCAUGGUGAAUUAUUGGCGGACUACAGAUCUCGUGCAAAUAAGAAAGUCCUUGUGCUAUCUGUACUGCAAUAUGAAACAGUUUUACCCACUCUAUACUGGAAUCGUUUUGAUACAACACUUUAUCAAAAGAUUCAUUCUCCACGUAUUCAUAAACAAGUGCUUUCGUGUUGUCUUCCAAGCAAAAACCAUACAGUUUAACCAAGUUUUGAUGGUAGGUUCUGCUCAUUAUGGCUACUUCGUCUAGAAAUUGACUAGCCAUGAACUUAUUUUUCAUAUUAUCAUUUGCAUUAUAUUUCAGCACCUUAACUGCCACUUUUUUAUCGUAAGCAAAUCCUUUGUAAACGUUUCCAAACUCACCAGAUCCUAAUGUAUCAGCAGUAAAAUUUGACGUAAAUUUCAGAAGCUCUUUAUGUGAAAAUAAUUGUACUUUCUCAUUUUGAAUUCCGCUUAAAAACAUUUGGAUUUGAUUUGAGCUGUCAUCUCCCUUGCUUAGCAUACCAGGAUUUCCCUCCAUCUUAGGUGAUACUAUAUUGCAACUGUCAGGUACAAUAUGAAGUUGCCGAUCCUAACAGUAUCAAAGAUAACCUGAUGAUCAGCUAGAGAAAAAGAAAAGAAAAGCUAAUGACUGACAGAAAAGUCAGUUGAACUCAAUCAUUAUUGUCAUUGUUUAUCCAUUUUUAUGUUUAAUUUUGUCGAUUAUUUGAGAUCAUGAAGGGUACCUAGACUGAUUUCAGAUCCGGGUUUUCUUAAAACCAUCAAGAAAUAUCUGAUGUACACUAACUAAGCUAGCUAGCUUUGAUUAUCAAAAAAAAAAAAAAAAAUCCAAAUUAAUCUUACCUUGACACUAUCUUUCUUUCAGCUGUUGAUAUGUGUAUGCUCGAAUUCUUUGUAUCUUCAAAAAGCAAAGAGGCAAUUUUUAUCAAGUAUUCUAUACAUAAUACAAGAUUGAACAACACUUUUAGGCAUAGCUUGCAUACUUACCAAAUACUGUAUAACCCAGCAGAGAGAAGACUGGGUUAGAAGUUGUUUCUAUGUCACCUUGAUGGGAAGAGAUAUGCAUAUGAUGCUUCCUUCUUGGAAUCUUUAUCUCUUAUGAAGUUGUAUUUUUUUAAUGCCAAGUGGAACAACAAGUUGGAAAUGUUUAUACACUAAUUAAUUAAACACCACAUGGAAGACUUUGAAUAUCAAGAUUUAAAUUGUUUGAACAAAUAGUUCUAACAUUUUAUAAAGUUUUUGAUAUAAUUUAUGACUCAUAACUGCCCAUUUUUAAAUUACAAAAUAAGAAAUAAAGUUCCUAUUGAUAAUAUUAUAAUAAAUUAGUAGAAUUACAUUCCUUCUAGAACCAUUAAUCUCGAGUAAGUUUUUUUUUUUUUUUUUGAGUAACUUGUUUCUUACCAGUCCUCGUAAUCUCGAAUUUGAUAGAUAAAACAAUAAUGCAAAGCCAUGUAUAGUAGUAAUCUUAAGAUUUGAUAGAUAAAACAAUAAUGCAAAGUCUUGUAUUUCACAGAAUUACAAUUAAAAUAUCAGAAUUUUCAUCCCAAGGAUCAAAUAUAGAGUUUUCUUAGGUUUUAGGAAAUCGGAAAACUUUUGUUAGGAUUUACCUCGAACAAAACCGUAUUUUUCAGGCAGACCAAAUUACCCUUCCACUACCAACACAGAAUAGACGUGAGAAAGAGUUGGGGGGAGGACAUUGUUGGUUGAAUGUGGGAGUUGGUAGCGAGAUUGAGAAACAAUAGUGGUAUAAGUGGUGCGAACUUGGGGAGUAUUGAAGAAUUGAGAUGGUUGGGAGGUUUAUAGGGUUGUAUGUAUGGGUAGGGAUGUGAAAAUAUGUUUUGUGGUGUUUGGCGGCAACCAUGAAUAUUGAGAGAUGCAAAGUCAAUAAUGGAAACUUGUGGUAAAGUUGUGGUGGUGGUGGAAAAUUGGGGGAUAAAAUGUUCAUUUUGGUUAUUGUACUUUGUUUGUUUUUUGCAAUUUGGUCACAACACUUUUUUCCUGUCAGUUUGGUCAUAGUAGAGGGUGGGAGGGUGAGAACAUCAACAAUAGAUUGCUUACCUUCAAACUUAUUAAAUUGAAGAGUAAGUUUCUCGAUUAAAGUGGUUAGACGAUUAAUAGCCGAAUUGAAUUCAAUCUUCGUCACAUAAUCUCUAAGAUUAUUGACUUGGGAGCGGGGUGAAGAAUCUCCACCAUUGUAAGAUCGAAACGUAGCUCUUGAUACCAAUUGACAUAGCGGAAGCAAUUAAAAAUCAAACCUUGAAUAACCCAAGGUGAGAAUUGUCCUGAAACAAGGAAGAACUAAAACAAAACUAAAAAAAAUAGACAAUCUUAAUUGUAUUGAUUGAAUAAUUGAUCUACAAAACAUGACUCUUUAUAUAGACUAAAGACUUGUUCCGAACCGUGCUCACCCCUAAAACCAACUAUUCUAGAAUUUCAAGACUCUAAAAUAAAAAUUACUAAAUAAAAUAAAAUAAAUUUUUUUUUUUCUAACAUUACAACAUCAACAAUGACGUCAUCACUUCUGCAUUACAUUCAUUGCAUUGAGGGAAUGAGAAAGAAACAACCUCUAACUUCAAAUUUUGCAAGUUGCCACAUGUAGAACUAAUUAUUGUACUUAGAAUUAAAACAUAUAAAACACGCAAUUCAUGCAUGCCGGCCUGUAACCUUGCCCUGUACUAUAUACAAGAAGUAUCCCUAUCGACUAGUUGAUUAGUUCUAAUUAUAUUUUUAAAUGCAAUAUUAAUUAUAUACUCAUUAAAUUAAUAAUAAUACACUAAAUAGCACACAAGAUGCGAAGCUGCAGCAUGUUGACUUAUACAAAGUCGUCUUAAACUCCCAACUCCCAACUCCCAACACCCCUUCUUCCAUAAAGCAAGACGAUGCCAUUAAGAUGGGAGAUCUAAUAAGAACAACUUCUAAGCAAGUCUAAAGUGAUCUUCAUUUGGUUGUUUACCAAAUAAAUAAAGUGUUUAGGGCACUAUCAUGCAUGAAACUUGCAAAGCUAGUGGGAUCAAGUUAGUUAUUUAUUGAAUUUUCCAGGUAAUUUAAUUAUGUGUCUUUCUUCCGAUAGUUCUGUUUUUGUAUUGCAAUUAAUCCUGCUGCAGUUUUUAGUUCUUUGAUCAAUUGUGUUUAGUUCAGUAUUUCGACCAUAGAUCAGAUCUGAAAUUAAUCUCUCCUUGUAGAUAUAACACAUAGCUAGCUAUUCCACACACCAUUCAUUCCCACUCUGGUCCCUCAAACAAGUGCUGAAUGAGAACCCAAUAUAUGUGCAAUAUAACAAUAGUAAAACAAACAAUAAAGCAAUAAACAAAUAAAGAACACACGAUAUUUUUAACGUGGUAAAAACCAAUAUGGGAAACGUCCACGGUUGUCCUCGCGACAACAAAUAAAUUCACUAGAUGAAAAGAGAUGUACAAACCUAUCAACUACCUGCAAUCACUGCGAGUUGACACUACUGGUUAUCUCUAACACCUUGACUUCACCAGAGUACCUUGAUGUACGCACAUGACACUCGAACUUCUUGAUGAACACACAAGGAUACUCGACUUCUUGAUGAACACACAAGAAGACUCGAAGCUGAUCUCAAUAAUUAUUCAACAAAGAAGAAGAAGAUGAAUGGGGAAGAAGAAGAUGAGUUCAAUCACCAAAACAACCUAAACCAAAACCUAAACAAACUCCAAGACUAGAGAUGAAUUGGACGGCUAAAGAAAUCGUUUGUUCAUUGGGUAAAGAAACCCUAUAUAUAGUUAGGGUUUGGAAACAUAGAAAAUGGGCCGGACUUUGCAGAUUUUACAUUGGACGUACGUACGUCGAAACAGCGUACGUACGUCCGCACACGGAAAUAGUUCGCUGCCUGCUUGGACGUACGUACGUCCUAACUAGGUACGUACGUCCUGACCAAAACAUGUUUGCUGCCUAACAUGACGUACGUACACCCUAACUAGGUACAUACGUCCUAAACCCAAAAACUUACUUUUGACAAAAGAACGCGAGGACACAAACUCGAGACGAUGUGCAUAUAACUUGGUUUUCCUAACAAUGAACUCAAGGCGAGAUAACCGAGACAAUCAAUGUCACAAAAUUAAUGUCAAAUAACCGAGUGCCGGUUUCAAUCUCCCCCUUUGACAUUGAUUUUGUGACAAAAACCUAUGACUAUAGUAGCACUUAUAAAACGUGCAUACAAACCCAAACCAUGGCAUUUAUAAGAGAUGCCUACAAGAACACUCAUAGUAAAUACAUACCAAAUCACCAACACUUGAUAUUCUGGUCAAGUAAGAUUCUUUAAUCAUCAGAGACCGAACGGAAGCAACAAUGAAUUCUGUAAAUCAGAGAGCCAACGGAAGUUUCUCGAACAACUCCCCCAUACUUCAUGAGUCCCAAAAUUUGAUACUCGAGCUCCCCCGAAACUGUACAAUCUCAAACCAUCAUCACUUUCACUCCCCCAUACGUGUAGCAUACCUGAAACAUGACCCAAGAUACACUAACAAAGAAGAAGAAUGUGCUAGUAUUAGAGUCAUACAUCUCCUCAUUUUUGUCACAAAAGAAGCAAUGUGACAAGAAAAAAACCAUAACAAGUAAACAAAAAUUAAGAAGAGAAUAAUAAAACAUGUUAACAAGAAAUAGAUAUUGAACAGAAGAUAUAGAACAAUCUCUUGUCAACACAACAUAAACACCAUCAACAUGAGAAAAAUCCUUAACUAAAUCAACUUCACAAACCUUAACAAGAAGAUAAAGAGAAAGAACCGAUGUACCAUAAAAGUGAAGAGGAACACAUCAUGAAAUUCCCAAAAUAGUAGUCAAUCCCAAUCCAUACAAAAAUAAGAGACAAUAUAUUGGGAUAAACAAAAGAUUGAACAACUAAGAGAAUUGAAGUGCAUCAUAAACUAAACCUCGGUGUGUGUAGAUGCAAUGCAAUGCAUAAAGAGAGAGAAAGUUCACCACUAGAAUACACCCUUUGAAGACCUAGAAUAUAGAACCAUCAACAAGAGACAUACGAUUAGUAAGUGAGCUUAGAAGAAACAAACUUCAACCCCCUUUGAAACAAACGUUAUGCGUAGAAGACAAACGAAUAUAAAUAUGAUCUUUCAAAUGAAAACCAAGACAUCCAAAAGGCGAAGGAAUAUAAACUUUGUAUGUCUUACAUAAAAACAAUGAACAUGCGCAUGGAUUUUUAUUUUGCCGCAUGUGGUGGAGUUUAGUCUACAUCACUCUAAUGUCAUUCCCGCGUGGGAGGUAUUUUUGCCUCCAUCUUUUCAAAUACAUGAGGGUAGGGUGUAGCCUACAUCUUUUUGACAGACACAAACUCAAGAAGUGCAAUACCAUGAUAACGUGCAACACAAGAACUAACAUCUCUUGAGUGCAUCCGUCAGAGCAUGACCCUCACAACCCCAACGGGUUCUUAGCCAACUGAUAUAAUUUAAAGACAAUCAAAUGGCUGGGGAUAAAGUGAGUCAUUGACCACUAACAAGAGUUGUAAGAGGAAGAUAAGAAUGCUCAAUAACACGAACAACAAGAUGAACAUUAACCAAAACAAAUGAGAGAUAGCUCAAGAUAACAUAAAUACUCAAGAGAUAGAGAAGUUUUAUGAGCUUAAAGAAUAUGUAAGUGGUUUCCAAAAACUCCCAUCAUGCAAGAAUGCCGUGCACUGUGCAAACAAGCGAGGAAAAAUGCAUGAUACAUACCAAAACAUACUUAAGAGUUCAGAAAGAGAAAACACCCAAACAUAUUGUAACUUAUUUAAGACAAUUGAAUUAAACCAAUAUUUCAGAAAAGAUGCAUCCAACAACACAUACAUGGAAUAAUGAAAGAACAAUUAACGCAUGCAUAAAUAGAAGAUCGAACAAAAAACACCAAACAAAUGGCCUAUGUGGUUAGAAAAAUAUGCAAUUAAAAUACCACAAGACUAGAAACAAACUACAUCAUCCCAAAUAUGGGACACCACCAGACUUUUGCAAGUCUAGAAAAACCUGCAACUUAUCUUUUCUUACCCAUACUUGUUUAACACUAGGCGUGCACACCUUGAAAGUUGAAAAGAUAUGAGAUUUCCCCUUAUCAAGUUUUUCAAUAGACUUGUGGUCCUUAACUAAUUCCACCUUAGUCUUUGACUUCCUUUUGUUGGAGUACCCGUUUUUCUUAAACCUAUGAGAAUAAGCAUUAGAGUUCCAAGGUCUAGAAAACGCACAAGAAGGAACAUAAGAAUCAACAUGAUUAUAAUUAUAAGGAACACGGGAAUAACAUUUAACAUGUUGAUUAAAAUCCCAACAAAAGAUAUCCAAAUGACCAUCUCUACCACAAUAAGAACAAUGAAAAACAGUAGACUUACUCAAAGAAUUUUUAUAAGGAGAUGUGGUAGUAGAAGAUGAAACAUGUAUGUCACCAUUGUAUUUGUGACAUGGUGCCUUAACAAAAUCUGUACCUCCACUAUGAGAACAAGAUGUCUUACCAGCAAAAACACCCGUACCAUUAUCCUUAGACUUAAACUUUUUGCCAGAAACAUGCUGAAAAGUAUUAGUAUUAAGUAUAGUCUCAAUAGGUGGGGUAGGCAAAAGGGCAGGCAAACUAGAUUUUACAGAAGUAGUCACACUAGAUGGUCUAGUAGAACUAGCAAUAGGAGAGUCAAAUUUAGUUUUGUCCAAAACCUGCAAUUGAAGUUGAGUAGACGUUAAAUCGUUCUUUGUUACCUCAUACUCCACCAAUAGAGAUUUGUAUUUCUCAUCGACCUCCUGAUUGACCUUCUCUAAAGCUGCAAUUCUACAUAACAAGUCAAGUUUUUCUUUGUCAAAUAAUUGAGAAAUAGAAAUUGCAUCAUCUGCAGCAGAAAUAAUUUGUUUUUCAAGAGUCUCAAUUUUAUCCUGCAAAGUAAAAUUAGCCUUUUCCAAUUUUUUGAUUUUGGAAUCAUAAACUUCCCCUUGAAGCAUAUAGUCUUCUGCACAAUCUCUGAGUCGUUGUUCUAGAGAAUCAACCUUAGUCUGCAAAACACCAUUAUCUUUAAAACAAAAAUUAUCAGAAAUAGUAGAUAAAUUUGAAUUAGCUUUAUUGAACUUUUCCUGCAAAUCAAUAUUAGCUUUUUGUGACCUUUCACAUUCUUUUGUAGAAAGUCUGUAAAGAAGAGCCCAAUCACUAUUGCUAACAACAUACAAAUUAACAUCUUUUUCAAAAUCAGAUUUUGGUUUUGUAGAUUUAGACGGUUUAGCAAUAAAAUUAUUAUAAGCAGACUCAUGAACCAUUAUUGCACUCAUAAGAUCUACGCGUGAGCCAUUACGUUCCAUAACAAGCGCCCUGCUCUGAUACCAAUUGAGAACCCAAUAUAUGUGCAAUAUAACAAUAGUAAAGCAAACAAUAAAGCAAUAAACAAAUAAAGAACACACGAUAUUUUUAACGUGGUAAAACCCAAUAUGGGAAACGUCCACAGUUGUCCUCGCGACAACAAAUAAAUCCACUAGAUGAAAAUAGAUGUCCAAACCUAUCAACUACCUGCAAUCACUGUGAGUUGACACUACUGGUUAUCUCUAACACCUUGACUUCACUAGAGUACCUUGAUGUACGCACAAGACACUCGAACUUCUUGAUGAACACACAAGAAGACUCGAAGUCGAUCUAUGAAGCAAGCUUACACCAGAGUUCCUUGAUGAACACACAAGGAUACUCGACUUCUUGAUGAACACACAAGAAAACUCGAAGCUGAUCUCAAUAAUUAUUCAAUAAGGAAGAAGAAGAUGAAUGGGGAAGAAGAAGAUGAGUUCAAUCACCAAAACAACCUAAACCAAAACCCAAACAAACUCCAAGACUAGAGAUGAAUUGGACAGCCAAAGAACUCAUUUGUUCAUUGGGUAGAGAAACCCUAUAUAUAGUUAGGGUUUGGAAACAUAGAAAAUGGGCCGGACUUUGCAGAUUUUACAUUGGACGUACGUACGUCGAAACAACGUACAUACGUCCCCACACGGAAAUAGUUCGCUGCCUGCUUGGACAUACGUACGUCCUAACUAGGUACGUACGUCCUGACCAAAACAUGUUUGCUGCCUAACAUGACGUACGUACACCCUAACUAGGUACGUACGUCCUAAACACUAAAACUUACUUUUGACAAAAGGACGCGAGGACACAAACUCGGGACGAUGCGCGUACAACUUGGUUUUCCUAACAAUGAACUCAAGGCGAGAUAACCGAGACAAUCAAUGUCACAAAAUUAAUGUCAAAUAACCGAGGCCGGUUUCACUGAAAUCACUAGCAAUGACGACAAGAAUUAGUUCAAUUGGUUUAAUACUGUACCUGCAACAGAUCUCUGUCAUUCAAGUGUAGCCUGUGCUUGUUUUGUUUUGUUUUGACAUUAAGGGGGCUACACUUAAAAGAGUAGCUAUGUUAUAAUUUCCGAUAUAAUUAAACUAUAUAUACAAACUUUUCAUGUUCGUAUAGGCCAUUUUUUUUUAUGUCAGAUGUUGUUAAAUGUUAAAUAUUGCUUGUUCGAGUAACUCUUGUACAUACAUUACACAUGCAAAAAUAUAAUUAUUGUUUCAUCGGUCUGAGAUCAUGAGUAAUAGUUCCGAUAAGAAAAGAAAAAGAAGUUCCGACCUAAACGAUUAUUUUGAAGCUUUAUGUAAGCAGAUGCUCAAGCUGAAAGUCUUGAGAGACAAAGUGGCCACAGGAGGGGAAGUACGAAUGGCUGGUUGGCUACAGAUUGUUAAAGACAAAGAAAGAGAGGUGCGUGAAAUUGAAAUGAAGUUGAGAAAGUUAGAAAAAUAUCGUUUACCUCGUCCAAAUUCCAGGGAAAGGCUAAAAGAAAGGAUCAUUAAAAGUAUAACAACGGUGAAAGCUUUGAUCAAAAGUAAGGAUGAAAUCUCAUUAGCAAUGGAAACGUUCAGAAGGGCAGCUGAAGAAAUAUACCUCUAAUUUCCCGACUGAGAUAGGUUCUGGUGAUUUUGUGUUUCGUAAUAAUGUGGAAAUAGCCGUUAAGGUACUGCAUGACAGUGGAAUCGACAACAUGGAAAAGCAAUUUAAGGCUGAAAUAAACAGAAUGAGCAGAACUUCUCAUCGAAACUUAGCCAAGCUCUACGGUUAUUGUUUUGAUUCCUAAUCCUUAUUUCAAUCAAGACUUAUGGCAUUUUCCACAGGGAACCAAGUUAAUCUCAGAAGUCUAGCUAGAGCUACAUGACUGAAUCGGGCGGUAUAGACAUUGAAGUGUCAGAAGAAGGAAGAAGCACAACAAGGGAAUCAGACGGUUGUAAGAUUUUCAUUAACAACGGCUUUCAUGUUGUCAUCAAAACAGAACCCAUAUUAUGUUAUAUGUGUUAUUUUCCAGUUGAAUAAGUCUUAGUUGUUAUGAGUUAAGCCUAAUAAGUAGAAAGUAGAGUGUAGUCUUAUAGGGGUUAGUUGCAACUUAACGUUGGAGUGGGUUGUUGUAACUUAGUCCUGUUUUAUUAGUAAGAUAUUUGUAACACCUUCUAUUUAAGGUGCAGCAGUCAUUAAUAAAAGUAUGCUUAUGAAUUAUCUCCAAUUAUCCUCAACACUUAUUGUUGUUAUUGUAACACCCCGGGUCGGCAGGUGGUUUGCCAAAAGGGUGGGUCAUACGUUGCAUGAGAGGGGAUGAUCCUGACAUUGGAAUAUAGGUAUAGAUCCGUCAUAUAUAAUCACCGAGGCCUUUUGGGAGUAUCCCUCAUAUAUAAACAUUUCCCGUAAUGUUUUUCAUUAUUGCUGCCCUUGAAAUCUCGUAGGAUUGUCUGUAUAUUUGCAUGAGACGUGUUCACUAGAAUCAGACAUAGAAAACAUUAAGAUUGAUAAAAACAACAUAGUAAUUAGGAAGAUAUGUACCCAAGCUGUGGCAUUGAAACAAACACAUUUCGUAGUUACUUUCUUUUCCGACUCCACUUCAUAUAUGAAUUCACUAGACUUCAUCACCAACAAAGUUCUUGCUUCCUCAAUCCUCAAAGAUAAAACACCUUCCAUGGUUGGACACAAAGUAGAAGUCCACUUCAACGAAUCGUCACGUCUAUCCAACAUCAUCUUCAUAACACGUGACCUAAUUCUAUCAAGCAUUGGAAGUAUGGGCAUAGAACGUUGUGUGUACCCUGGGUACGUAAAAUACCCGAGAGGUGUCAUCGGUGGUUGUAUAAGAAGCUAAACCGAGAACACUUGAAUGUUAGCCAGCCAGACCUGGACUAUCGGGUAGGGCCCAACCCGGUCUCAAGAAGUCCACAUACGCUCUGUAGAUCUUGACCACUGGAUGGGCCACGAGCAGUGGGUGGAGCCCCGGUUACUGUAUAAGAAGUUGAGCCGUAGGCUCCCAUACAUCAGUCAGGCCCGUCUUAAUCAAGUAAGCUAGGUCCGACCCAUUGAAGUCCAUCAGCGAUGAAUUCCAUCCAAAGCCUUAUCAUAGAAGUCCAAAGGACCUGGCCAGGGAGUAUGCAAUGCAGAUUGGGCCUCCGGUCUGAGGAGUUUAGCCCAAGUCUUUGCUUUCAAACUUGGUCAAAUCCAAGUCUUAACUAACUGGAUAAGUCCAGCAAGAUUUCAGGCUAACAGAACCCACUCUUCUAGCCCGCUGGAGAACAUAAAGGAAGACCCAGGUUGAACCAGAGCCUAUCAGAGAAUGCCAUGUGGCAGUCGUCCUUGUCCGAGGGGAUUCAAACCGAGGGAUAAUCGUCAAGCAACAUGCAUGUGUGCUAUCUCUGCGGGAACAUCUUCACAGUUUGAACUGCCCGAGUUCAUGGAGUCGAAACCGAAUGAGCGGUUGAGCCAGCCUCCUCUGGUCCACUAUAAAUUCAGGAGUUCUCAACCUCCUGAACUACGAGUCUUUCACUUAACAACCUCCAUUACUAAAUCACAUUAUAUAUUGAAAAAGUGUUUAGAGGUGGAUUAAAGCUGGUUAUCAAAGUAUAAUGGUCAUGGUUCCAUAUGUAUUACUUGGAUUUUGAUAUGUGUAUAUUGAAAAGUGUAAAAACCUUUGAACAACCUUCUCUAUUUCUCUCUCAUUUCUCCUCUUCUCACUUUCUCUCUCAAUGAUUAUAAAGUGGAUACAAUAUUCAAAAAUAUGUAAAAACCUUUUUAGGUUCAAAUUUUCUGUGUUUUGUAGUGUGAAUUAGUCCGUAUAACUUAUGUAAAUUGACAUAUGUCUCUUGAACUGAAAGAUACGUCAUCUGUAUAACCUAUAACCUAUGUAAAUUCAUAUAUGUUACUCUUACUGAAUAUUUGUUUUAAAAGAAUAUAUUAUAUCAUAAAACUAGUAAUCUAACUCCUAAAAUUGAAUGUGACAGAAUACGAAUUUUAAGAUUAUUAUCUUCAAAUUAUUAAUGAUAUUCGUGGCAGUGCCACGGGUUUUACUAGUAAUUUAUGAUCCAUAACUGCCCAUUUUUAAAUUACAAAAUAAAAAAUAAACUUCCUAUUGAUAGUAUUAUAAUAAAUUAGUAGAAUUACAUUCCUUCUAGAACCAUUAAUCUUGAGUAAGUUUUUUUUUUUUUUUUGAGUAACUUGUUUCUUACCAGUCCUCGUAAUCUCGAAUUUGAUAGAUAAAACAAUAAUGCAAAGUCUUGUAUUUCACAGAAUUACAAUUAAAAUAUAUACUCUCCUAAACCAAAGCUAAUACAAGGAAACUACCAAAAAAACUACUCUUAACAGAAUUAUAUAUAUGUCGUGAAAUACUUAAUAAGAUAGAAUAUGGUCGGAAUCUUUUAUGUAUGAUUAAGGAUUGGAUGAGUAAGAUGGUGGAAUUGAAGUGGAAGUCUUUCAUGUGUAUAGGGAGAGUAACAAAGUAGUAGAUCACCUUGCUAGCCUUUGUAGCUCACCGGAGUUGUGUGUAAACCUUUUUUUCUCCUCCUCUAGCUAGAUGCCAAGCUACUUGAGUAGGUAACAGAUGACUCUAAUGGGAGGGAAUUUUUAAGGAUUUCUAUACAUAUAUAUACAUACAUACACUGGUAGGGGUCUGCCAAACCCUAAAUUUCUUCAACAAAAUAAAAAAUAAUAAUAUGUUCGACUAAUGUUUAUGCCACGGAUGACAUUAAAUUAGAGAGGUCCUACUGUAUAUGAAUCUAAUGAUAUAUAUGAAUGUUCCUAAUUUACAGGUUCAUGAUAUGACUUUAUCACAUAAAUAAACCAACCGCCCGAUUGAAUUUUUGUUGUCGCCCAGGUUCCAUUUCUAAUGCAUGGUACAUGUAACGUGUUGGAGUUAUUUUGCAGAUCAUGUCAUAAUAGUGUUUUGUAAGUAGCAACAUGUCAUAAUCAUGUCAAAUUCAUUAUCAUCAUCUCCAAUGAAACUAUAGACAGUAAAAAAACAAAAAGCCAGUCUUCCAAAUUUCAACUUACAAACUAUUAAUCAUAGGCAAAGACAGUAAAAAACAAAUAAAAAAGCUAGUGUAUCCAUCUCAACUAUUUUAAAAACUAGUUGCUUUCCUUUCACAAAUACUACAGGAGGGUAUACAGCCUUUUUACCUAGCACGGUUUGCAAUUCACUCAUAUAGGCUCGUCCAGCAGUAUCUCGCUCAUCAACCUCAAUUUGAUAUGAUUUUAACAUGGAAACAAUAUAUUCAGAAUAAUCAAUGUUGUCUCUCCGACCAGACGAAACUGUGUAAACAACAACCGCAUUUUCACCUCCAGGCGGACACCUUGAUCCGAAUUUUGCAAGCUUCAUAUUUGGUUCACUUAUUACAGGCCUUUCAAAAAUGGCAGAAUUGACUUUUGGAUGCCCCAACUUGGCUGGGAGAGAAAACACCAAAGAAUUAGAACUACCACUUAUGCUGCUGCUACUUUCACCAAAAUCAUAUGUAAAUGGUUCUUGCGGCAACCACGGUUCUAUCUCACCCUCAAGCAUCUUCACCACUUUGCUCAUAUCUGGCCGUUCGCGGUAAAUGUGUUGAGCACAUAACAAUGCAACUAAGCUUAAUCUUUUUGCAUUUUCUUUAUCCUUCUCUUCAAUGCCACAGUAAAUCAUUAUUUCACUUACCUUUCCAUCCUGAAGAUGCUUCCAAACUUUUUUUGGAAAGUUCUCGACCAUCCAAAUCCUCUUCCUCAUCAAAAUUUCGAACAACAUCAUGCCAAAACUAUAAAUAUCACAUUUAUGAUUAAUUUUGUCUUUCCAUCCAUAGCACACCUCAGGUGCAGCAUAACUCUCUGUACUUCCGAUCUGUGAGACAUGGUUGACAUCCCUGGUACGAAGCUUAGCCAACCCAAAAUCAGUAAUCUUAGGAGAAUGGUUGGAAUCAAGAAGCACAUUAUCAGACUUUAUGUCAUGGUGAACUAUUUGCGGAUAACAACCCUCAUGCAAAUAAGAGAGUCCUUUAGCUAUCUUUAUGGAAAUAUCGUACAACUUCGCCCACUCUAUACAAGAUUGCUGCUCUUGGUAUAAGAUUUUAUCGAAAGAUCCAUUCUCGACGUAUUCAUAAACAAGAGCUUUCAUGUUGUCAUCAUAACAAAACCCAUAUAGUUUAACUAAGUUUGGAUGUAUAGUUCUUCCCAUUGUGUCAACCUCACUCUUGAAUUGUUUUUCCAUGAAUUUUUUAUCCACGACUUUCUUUUUGGAUUGGUCAGUUAUCUCUUCUCUCAGUACCUUAACAGCUACUUUCCUGCCAUAUGGAAGAUGUCCUUUGUAAACAUUUCCAAACGCACCUGAACCUACUUUGUUUUCGAUCUUUGAUGUAAUGCUCUGAAGCUCGUCAUGUGUAUAUAGUUGUAGUUUCUCAUUUUCUAUAUCACUUAGGAUUUUCUUAAGAUUCUCCCCCAUCAUAAUUAGUUGAGACAAUAUAAUUAGUUGAGACAAUAUGGCAACCAAUCCCAAUCCAAUCGAUUCCUGUAUCAAAUAAAGAUGACAUAGGUACGAUUGUGAAAAACAUAAGGACAUUGACAAAAAAAAUAAUGUAAAUUGUAGGUAGACAAAACUAUUGAGUUUGAAAUUCAACAAAAUAUUCUCUCCAAUGUGUUCAAGCAUUUAGUUUUACUUGUUGGUUUUGAAACCGACAUUCGAUUGUUUGACAUCAUUUUGUGACUAGGUUAGGAGUGUCCGAGGUUAUCUCGCCUUGACGUCAUUAUUAGGAAGUACCUUGAUGUGUGAGCGUCGUCCCGUGUCUUCUUACUCUCGUUCAAAGUCUGUCAGGUUGUUGUUUGUUCCAGGACAUACGUACCUAGUUAGGACGUAUGUACGUAAGGUUGGGCAGAUCUUUUAUUUUUGGUUAGGAUGUACGUACCUAGUUAGGACGUACGUACGUCCUGUUCAACAUAUCACUUAUUCGUUCAGGGACGUACGUACCUAGUUAGGGCGUACGUACGUCGUCGUAUGGAUUUCUUGUUUUCAGCUAAUUUUCUCUCUUUUCCAAACCCUAAGUAUAAAUAGGUUUUUCAACCAUAGAACAAAGUAGUUCUUUGGCCGUCCAAUUGAAGUCUUCUUCUUGAGUUUGUUUAGGUGAUUGAACUCAUCCUCUUCUUCCUCAUUCAUCUUCUUCUUCCUUAUUGAAUAUUGAGAUCAGCUUCGAGUCUUCUUGUGUGUUCAUCAAGAAGUCGAGUAUCCUUCUGUGUUCAUCAAGGAACUCUGGUGUAAGCUUGCUUCAUAGAUCGACUUCGAGUCUUCUUGUGUGUUCAUCAAGAAGUCGAGUUCCUUGUGCGUACAUCAAGGUACUCUGGUGAAGUCAAGGUAUUAGAGAUAACCAGUAGUAUCAACUCGCAGUGAUUGCAGGUAGUUAAUAGGUUUGUACAUCUCUUUUCAUAUAGUGGAUUUAUUUGUUGUCGCGGGGACAACCGUGGACGUUUCCCAUAUUGGGUUUUACCAUGUUAAAAAUAUCGUGUGUUCUUUACUUGUUUAUCGCUUUAUUGUUUGCUUUACUAUUGUUAUAUUGCACAUAUUGGGUUUUUAGGUUUUUCAUUGACUUCAUUCUUCAUUCAAGUGGAUUGACACCUUUCUCAUCAUUAUACUACCUAUUAUUUUAGGAGAGAAAAAGUUUUUGCAUUCUUCGCCUUAACGACAUUUGCAUUUCUAUUAAAAAAAGCAAAAAUGUGAGAAUCAGUUUUUGCCCCAAGAAAUUGUGAUUGUGACAAUUUUAGGAACCUUAUUAAAGUUUGGUUUGAAGGAAUUUUUAUUUCACUUAUAUCCUUUUCGCAAAUACUAAAAGGUUAACUAUAAAAAUGGAUCCUACUUGUGAAAGGGAAGAACUUAAAUUAUCUAGGUUUAAAAUUUAAUUUAUUUAAUUUUUUUUUUUUUUUUUGGUAAAAAGUUUUAAAAGCAUUCAAUUAUUUUCAAGAUUUGGGUCAAAAUCCAAUGGGAUUGCUUGCUUUCUCACUGAGAAGGCUGUGAGAGUACUCUCUCUAAAUAACAAUUCUAAAAUAUAACUUCUUUAGUUACACUAUUCAUUGCCAAUUGGUUUUGAGUUGGACCCCAUGAGUUUAACAUGGUAUAAGAGCGGGCAUUUAUUCUGGGUUUAUAAGCCUAUGUGUGGUUUGAUUGGUCGUGGGAAAAAUUCCCACAUCAAACAUUACCCCAGAAAUUCCCAGAUGCCUGUUUGAUUGGUAAAGUUGGGUCAUGUAAAAAUUCCAUGAUAAAAAUAUUUCUCAUGAAUUUUUCCUUGACCCACCCUUAAAAAAAAAUUCCCAAACUUGUAGGGGAAUAUUUUUUUUGUCUAAUCAAACAACUAAAAUCUUUCCCACAUAAAAUUUUCCUCAUGUUUUUAUGUCUAAUCAAAUAACUAAAAUCUUUCCCACAUAAAAUUUUCCUUGUGUUUUUAUGUCCAAUCAAACGACCCAUUAGUAGGAAUUAUUUUAUGUGGGAAUAUUUUCAACUAUAAAAAUUCCCACAAGUAGUUAUUCCCACCAAUCAAACACACCCUUAAAUCAUGCCAUGCGUGAGGGAGCGGGUUGAGAACUUGAGAUGCUUAACCCCAGAUUGGUUUUGAGUUGAACACCAUGACUUUAAUAACAACGAAGAUCAUUUUGAAUUCUAAGGAUGGCGAGAUUGCUCGCCAUAAUACAGACUCAUUAACAUGUGUCAGAGUUGACAGGGUAACAGGGUCAGAGAGUCUUGGAAAAAGUUGGAUGGCUACUAUGCCCACUUCAUUUGAACAUAGAAAAGCUAAUUAGAUAGAAGCUAAGGCUAACUUAUAUUAGCUCUAUAAAGCAACAAAUUUAAUCUUCUGUAGUCGUGUAUUAAUAAUGAGAACUGAAUACGAAAGACUAACCUUGAAAGAAGAAGAAAACCACAACAGAAGGCCAGAAGCUCAAUCUCAGAACCAGAAUCUCUAUACUACUAGUGUAUUGUGUUUUGUAGGAAGAAGAAGAGUAUGGGUACAUCAAUAAAAAGUGAAGUACAUAUAAAUGAUCCUACAAUCAAUCUCCAAUCUCAAAGUCAAAUAAACCACACGGAAUACCAGGUGUAGCAUGUGAAAGGCCACCUACCCCUAAAUAUAUAUAUACAUAUAGUAACAAAAAAAUUUAAGAGAUUUUUGGACAUACCCCAAUUUGAAAGUCGAAAUUUGAGAUACCCCAUUUGAAAAAAAAAUUGAGAUACCCCUAAUUCAAGACAAAAGAGCUUUACAUCCGUAGGUGAGUUUUAUCAUCCGUAGGUGAGUUUUAUGAUGGACGGCUAAGAUAACACCAUAUCUUGAAUUGGGGGUAUCUCAAAUUUUUUUUCAAAUGGGGUAUCUCAAAUUUCGACCUUCAAAUGGGGGUAUGUCCAAAAAUCUCUCUAGUUUUAAUUUAGUGAAUCUCAAACCACCUAAAUUGUACUAUUCAACAUUGGUCACACCAACAAAAUUAGUCGCAUAACCCAACUUAUAAAAUAACUCAAAAUAACUAAACAAGUAACUUCAUAUCUUAUACCUAUAUUAUCUUUUAUUUCAAAGAAUUAGACUUUUAGUCUUAUUCCAAUUUUUUUUGGGCUAAAAUGAUAAACUUUGAAUUAUGGCGGUCAAAAGGACAAACACACGUUAAUAAUUUAUCAAAAGAACAAACUCGAAUUUUUACUUAGUUAAAAAGACAAAUGUUUAUGAUUAGACCUGUAAUCAUAUAGUCACACUUUUUCAAAAUCCUAAUACAUGUGAUUGCUAUUAUGAUUAUACGUGUGAUCAUACACACUUGUUCUUUUGAUUUAUGUGAUCACAACUGUAAUCAUACUCAUGAUCAUAAAAUAUUUAUAUGUGAUCAGGAGUAUAUGAUCAUAACAAAUAAAUGUGAUUAUAAGUAUGAUCAUACAUACUUAUGUUGUGAUUUAUGUGUGAUCAUAACGAAUAAAUGUGAUUAUAAGUCUGAUCAUACCAACUAAAUGUGAUUAUAGGGUUUGAUCAUACGGUUGCAUAAAAUUGCAUUCCAACAAGAGUUAAUUUGGGUAGGGUAUAGUUUUAUUGCAUUUAGUGUUAUGUAUUAUAUGAUUAGACAUGUGAUCAUAUGAUUAUAGGUCUGAUCAUACAGUUGGAUAAAGUCGCAUUAAAACUAGGGUUCAUCGGGGUAGGAUAUCGUUUUAUUGCAUUUAGUGUUGUAUAGUAUAUGAUUAACGUCGUGAUCAUGUGAUUAUAGGUCUGAUCAUAGGGUUGCUUAAGAUUGCAUUCCAGCCAAAUAGGGUUCAUUUAGGUAGAGUGUAGUUUUAUUGCAUUUAGUGUGUAUGUAGUAUAUGAUUAGACAUGUGAUCAUGAAGGGUAUUUUUGUCCAAGGGAGUAAAUUGUUAUGAUCAGACCCGUGAUCCUAAAAACGUUAUCCUUUUGAGUAAGUAAAAUCUUUUAUUGUCCUUUUGGCCUAACCUAAUAGGAACCGUGUCCUUGCGCCCAACUCACCCCUGCUCUUUUCAUUUGGUAUAACUCAAGAAUUCAUUGGAUAUUUGCAAAAAAUAAAAAUAUAGUGGCAGAACGACAGAAAGAAAAAAAUUGAGAAAAAGAAAAAUAUCACGAACCAUCACUAGAAAAUAGUGGAACGGAAAGAAAUUGAAACAUGCUAAAAUACACUAGUAACCUCUCACUAGAUAGUGACGGAACGAAAAAUGCUAAAAUAUACCGUGAACUAAUAGAUUUUCUUUACUUAGAAAUUUAGAAAUUUUAUUUCUUAAUGGGUUUUCUUUAGAAAUUUUAUUUCUAUAUAGAUUUUCUUUACUUAGAAAUUUUUGAUUAAUUUUGCAUAAAAAUUUGCAAGUUGCCACAGAUAGAAUUAAUUCUUAAUUAGAAUUAAAACAUAAAAAACUCAACACAUGUCUUAAAACACAAAGAUGAAGUUUGACUCAAAAUAAAAAACUUUAGCCCAGUUUCUUGUUGAAUGUGAACUUUACCAUUUUCUAACUCGGGACUUCUUGGAUGCCAGCUGAGUCCAGUUGGUGUAAUACCUUGGGGCGAUGAUACCAGAGGUCUAAGGUUCGAUUUCAGUGCAUCUUUGAGCUACUGAUUUCUUUAAAGACAGGCUUGCCGAUCAAAAAAUAAAAUAAAAUACACUAGGACCGACGUUGUUGUUGUUGAGUGUGUACUCAUUUCAUUUUCUAAUGAGUCUAUUCCUACCUGUACAAUUUGAAAUGAACCUUCUUUAAUUUAAAGAGUAAAUUAAAAUUAAUAUUGUAAAAACGAAAUGCGAAGCUGCAACAUGUUGAGUUAUUCAUUUUUUUAAUUAAAGCUGCAACAUGAUGUUGAAUUAUUCAUUUUUUUUUAAUGAGGGGCUUCUUGUUGAGUGUGAACUAACUGAUCAUUUCUUCUCCCAUCAAGGUGUGAGAAGAACAACUUCCAACCAACUCUUCAGUCUUCAUCAUACGUGGAACUUGCAAAGCUAGUUGGAUCAAGUUAGUUUUUCAUUGAAUUUUCCAGGUAAAAUUUAAAGUUUGUGCUUUAAUUUGGAUCUCCUUUUGUUAAGAUUAAUUACCAAGAUUAUACGUACUACUGCACUGCAUAGAUUAUACGUACUACUGUGCUUUAUUUGUCUUGCAAGUUGCAACUAAUCUUGCUGCAGUUAGUCCUCACUUAAUAUUGUUUCGGUUGGUUUUUCGAUCAUAGAUCAGAUCUAAUUUAGUCUCUCUGUAGAUAUCUAGCGCACUAUUCCACUCACCAUUCCCACUUUGGCCACUCAAACAAGUGCUAAAGUCACUGUUAAAUUACUUCAAUGAGUUUUCGAUGAUCUAGCUUUCAUAUACUGUGCCUGCAACAGAUCUCUGUCAUCCAAGUGUAGCCUGUGCUUGUUUUGUUUCUCACCACCAAGACAUUAAUGUGACAGCAAUUGUUGGUAUAGUUGAAUAAAUCCUGGAAAUCGACCCAUAUACUUGAAUUAAUUACUCCCUCUGUCCCAAAUUAUAAGUACCUUUUGAUUUUUGAUUGUUCAUUUGUCUAUAUUACCCUUGUUUUGAGAUAGAGUAAUUAUUCUAAUGAAAAGUUAGGCAUUAUAAUUAGUAUUAAAUAGGGGUAAGUUAGGAAGUAGAGUUAGUAGACAAACAAUAAAUGAUGUUUCCUUAAUAAAUAGAAUAUUCCAAAAGGUACUUAUAAUUUGGGACGGAGGGAGUAUAUAUUUUCAUUAUAGUACAUUAAUUAAGUGGACCACAACUAAAAUACUAGCUAGGUUAUAAUUUCCAAUACGGUGAUAAAUGCACAACCUGUUUAAUUGCACAAAAAAUAUUGGUUCCAUGAUUGGGAUAGUGUAUUUUGGGAAUUUCCCUGCACACUACUCCGUAUGUAAUGUGCAAAUUAUUUACAGUCCCAAACUCCCAACCCUAUAAUUAUCCCACACUUGGUAAGAAACACUUUAAAAUUAUGUGUAUUAUACUUACCAUUGGAAUUAUAAACCACACUUAGGUUGAAAUUGAAGUAAAUUACUUUUAAAUUUGCAUAUAUAUAAUGUUUUAUUUAUUUUCUAAUCUAUAUCAAAUUAUAACAUUAUAUUAUGUUAGGUAUGGAAUUUUACAAUCUACAUUAGACAGUCUUUCACCUUUACUUUGUAAAUGCACACCCUUUGUAAACGCACAUUAAAUCUUGGUCCCAAGGGCGUGCAUUUAGACAUGUUUCACUGUACAAUUAAAUUAUGCAGACUUUUCAUAUUUGGCAUUUUUUUUUUUUUUUUUUUUUAAUCUCAGAUGUUGUUAGUGUCUUCUACUAGGUUGUUAAAUAUUCCUUGUUGUACAGAAUUAAUGAGCAACUCUUCUUCCUAUAUACAUUACACAUGCAGAAAUAUAAUUGUUUCACCGGCCUGAGAUCAUGGGUAGUAGGUCCGAUCUAGAUGAUUAUUUUGGAAAUUUACGUACGGAGAUGCUCAAGCUGAAAGAAUUGAGAGACGAUGUGGCCACAAGAGGGGAAGCACGAAUGGCUGGUUGGCUACAGAUUGUUAAAGACAAAGAAGGAGAGGUGGGUGAAUUUGAAAUGGAGUUGAAAAAACUAGAAAAAAGUCGUUUACCACGUCCAAGUGCCAAGGAAAAGCUAAAGGAAAGAGUCAUUAGAUGUAUAACAACGGUGAAAGCUUUAAUCGUAAGUAAGGAUGCUAUCUCAUUAGCCAUGGAAACAUUCAUAAGUGAAGUGGCAACAGGGAAACCAACACAAUUUUCAGAAUGGCAGCUGAAGGAAUAUACCUCUGAUUUCGCUACUUCGACUGUGGUAGGUUCUGGUGAGUUUGGGGUUGUCUAUAAAGGUGUAUUACGUAAUAAUGUGGAAAUAGCCGUUAAGGUACUGCAUGACAGUGGGAUGGACAACAUGGAAAAGCAAUUUAAGGCUGAAGUGAACACAAUGAGCAGAACUUCUCAUCGAAACUUAGCAAAACUCUAUGGUUAUUGUUUUGAUGCCAAAAAGAAAGCCCUUGUGUAUGAAUUCGUGAAGAAUGGAUCCUUGGAUAAAAUUUUAUAUGAUGGCAACAGUAGUAUAGAAUGGGGCAAAUUAUAUAAUAUUGCAGUUGAGACUGCAAAAGGGCUCUCUUAUUUGCACGAGAAUUGUGAUGAACGGAUAAUUCAUCGAGACAUAAAGGCUGGUAAUGUGCUCCUUGACUCAAACUUUUGUCCUAAGCUUACUGAUUUUGGAUUGGCUAAGUUUUAUGGCACUGAUAAGAGUCAAGUUGCAUUGAGUAGCGGUUUCAGGGGGGUACGCAAUUAUGAUGCUCCAGAGUUGCGAUUUGGAAAUAAAAGAAAAGUAAGCUAUAAAUGUGAUGUUUUCAGCUUUGGGGUGAUGCUUUUUGAAAUUUUAACGAGGAAGAAAUGCGAAGGUGAUAACUCGUUGGCACUACAUGUUUGGGACAAGUUUCAGAAAGGAGUACUUGACGAAUUUAUAACAGAUAAAUGUGGCAUUGUUGGGGAAGAGGAUAAAGAUAAUGCAAAGACAUUAAGUAUAGUUGCGUUAUUGUGCAUUGAACAUAAACCCCAGGACAGACCUUCCAUGAGUAAAGUGGUGAAUAUUCUUACGGGUGUAAUCAAACCUUCCACACCACUGAAUCCUU